rnacentral:lncRNA from 1 species
CCUUCUGCGGAUUCCGGUGCAAUUUUUGCCACGGCCCUGGUGGUGCUAGUUCUGAUCAGUUUUGUAGUCUUAAUGAGGUAUAGCCCCCCGGCAGUAUUAUUGAUUCAGUAUCUCACUUGCUUAAUUUUUUGGGUUAAAUUAAGGCUGAAGUUGCGGUUGCUCUAAAAUAGGCAAAAGCCGGUGGGGAAACAGGAUUUGGCUAAUCUACCGCAAUGCCAAACACAGCCUAAGUGCAGCGAGGCAUGAUAUCCUAGAUUGUUAGUGCCAUAUCUUAACAAAUUAGAUACUGUAUACUGAAACCUGUCGAUUCUUCCUAGGUGCUUAUACUGUUG